rnacentral:rRNA from 1 species
UGGGGAAUAUUGCACAAUGGGCGCAAGCCUGAUGCAGCCAUGCCGCGUGUGUGAAGAAGGCCUUCGGGUUGUAAAGCACUUUUAGCGGGGAGGAAGGUGGUGAGGUUAAUAACCUCAUCGAUUGCCGUUACCCGCAGAAGAAGCACCGGCUAACUCCGUGCCAGCAGCCGCGGUAAUACGGAGGGUGCAAGCGUUAAUCGGAAUUACUGGGCGUAAAGCGCACGCAGGCGGUCUGUCAAGUCGGAUGUGAAAUCCCCGGGCUCAACCUGGGAACUGCAUUGGAAACUGGCAGGCUAGAAUCUUGUAGAGGGGGGUAGAAUUCCAGGUGUAGCGGUGAAAUGCGUAGAGAUCUGGAGGAAUACCGGUGGCGAAGGCGGCCCCCUGGACAAAGACUGACGCUCAGGUGCGAAAGCGUGGGGAGCAAACAGG